GAUGAACGCUGGCGGCGUGCCUAAUACAUGCAAGUCGAGCGAACGGACGAGAAGCUUGCUUCUCUGAUGUUAGCGGCGGACGGGUGAGUAACACGUGGAUAACCUACCUAUAAGACUUGGAUAACUUCGGGAAACCGGAGCUAAUACCGGAUAAUAUUUUGAACCGCAUGGUUCAAAAGUGAAAGACGGUCUUGCUGUCACUUAUAGAUGGAUCCGCGCUGCAUUAGCUAGUUGGUAAGGUAACGGCUUACCAAGGCAACGAUGCAUAGCCGACCUGAGAGGGUGAUCGGCCAAACUGGAACUGAGACACGGUCCAGACUCCUACGGGAGGCAGCAGUAGGGAAUCUUCCGCAAUGGGCGAAAGCCUGACGGAGCAACGCCGCGUGAGUGAUGAAGGUCUUCGGAUCGUAAAACUCUGUUAUUAGGGAAGAACAUAUGUGUAAGUAACUGUGCACAUCUUGACGGUACCUAAUCAGAAAGCCACGGCUAACUACGUG
rnacentral:rRNA from 1 species